AAGUCAUAACAAGGUUACUGUAGGUGAACCUGCAGUAGGAUCAUUAUUGAAAAAUAGGGCUUUCCCAUUCUUUGGGGCCCGAACCUUCACAUAAUUUCCACACACUUGUGAAUCGUUGGAGCGUUUUUUGAAAAAGAGACGCUCUGGCACCCCUUUACUUAUUACAAACACUGAGUUAAUGGAUGUAGUUGUAAACUUGUCUUUUGACAGAAACAAAAAUACAACUUUCGACAACGGAUCUCUUGGUUCUCC
rnacentral:misc_RNA from 1 species